UUAAAGAUUUAUCGGUGUACCGAUGGGGAUGCGUUCCAUUAGGUAGUAGGCGGGGUAACGGCCCACCUAGCCUACGAUGGAUAGGGGGUUCUGAGAGGAAGGUCCCCCCACAUUGGAACUGAGACACGGUCCAAACUCCUACGGGAGGCAGCAGUGAGGAAUAUUGGUCAAUGGACGAGAGUCUGAACCAGCCAAGUAGCGUGAAGGAUGAAGGUCCUACGGAUUGUAAACUUCUUUUAUAAGGGAAUAAAACCUCCCACGUGUGGGAGCUUGUAUGUACCUUAUGAAUAAGCAUCGGCUAACUCCGUG
rnacentral:rRNA from 1 species